UCGAGAAUCAUUCACAAUGGGGGAAACCCUGAUGGUGCGACGCCGCGUGGGGGAAUGAAGGUCUUCGGAUUGUAAACCCCUGUCAUGUGGGAGCAAAUUAAAAAGAUAGUACCACAAGAGGAAGAGACGGCUAACUCUGUGCCAGCAGCCGCGGUAAUACAGAGGUCUCAAGCGUUGUUCGGAAUCACUGGGCGUAAAGCGUGCGUAGGCGGUUUCGUAAGUCGUGGGUGAAAGGCGGGGGCUCAACCCCCGGACUGCACAUGAUACUGCGAGACUAGAGUAAUGGAGGGGGAACCGGAAUUCUCGGUGUAGCAGUGAAAUGCGUAGAUAUCGAGAGGAACACUCGUGGCGAAGGCGGGUUCCUGGACAUUAACUGACGCUGAGGCACGAAGGCCAGGGGAGCGAAAGGG
rnacentral:rRNA from 1 species